rnacentral:SRP_RNA from 1 species
ACUGGGCUUAGUAACGCAAGCCUAUGACCCAAGUGGGGGUAAUAAAAUGGAGGGAGUUAUGGGUUUAGUGUAUGGGGAUUGAGAAGGAACUAUUUGGUAGACUUUGGAUUGAGAGAGAGUUUCAUGUAACGUUGUCUUAACAGAGCAGCACUCUCAAUAAAUAAGUGGUCAUGGAACCCUAUUACGACAGGAAUCCUGUUGGGGUGGUCAGGCACUUUAGUUUGUUUCUCAACCCACAUUAUUUCGAUAAUAACCUCUAUUUUU